rnacentral:rRNA from 1 species
CAAUAGCGUAUAUUAAAGUUGUUGCAGUUAAAAAGCUCGUAGUUGGAUUUCUGUCUUUGUUGUGCGGUCCACCGCGAGGUGAGCACUGUGCGAUGGGGACUUCCUCUCGAUGUUGUGCCGUGUUCUUAACUGAGUGCGGUAUUGACUCGGGACCUUUACUUUGAAAAAAUUAGAGUGUUCAAAGCAGGCCUACGCUUGAAUACAUUAGCAUGGAAUAAUUGAAUAGGACUUCGGUUCUAUUUUGUUGGUUUCUAGGACCGAAGUAAUGAUUAAUAGGGACAGUUGGGGGCAUUAGUAUUUAAUUGUCAGAGGUGAAAUUCUUGGAUUUAUGAAAGACUAACUACUGCGAAAGCAUUUGCCAAGGAUGUUUUCAUUAA